GUAGUUAGCCGGAGCUUUCUUUACGAGUACUGUCUUGUAUCUUCCUCGUAGUCAAUAGUUUACAAUCCGAAAACCUUCAUCCUAUACGCGGCGUUGCUGGGUCAGGCUUGCGCCCAUUGCCCAAUAUUCCCCACUGCUGCCUCCCGUAGGAGUCUGGACCGUGUCUCAGUUCCAGUGUGGCCGAUCAGCCUCUCAGCUCGGCUACCCAUCGUUGGCUAGGUGGGCCGUUACCCCGCCUACUACCUAAUGGGACGCGAACCCCUCCUUUAGCGGAUUUCUCCUUUGACCUCUGUGUCAUGCGGCACUGUGGUCUUAUGCGGUAUUAGCACCUGUUUCCAAGUGUUAUCCCCCUCUAAAGGGCAGGUUGUUCACGCGUUACUCACCCGUUCGCCACUAGGUACAAAACCGAAGUCUCGUACCCCGUUCGACUUGCAUGUGUUAGGCACGCCGCCAGCGUUCGUCCUGAGCCAUGAUCAAACUCUGA
rnacentral:rRNA from 1 species